rnacentral:rRNA from 1 species
AUGGCGGGCAACGAGGGGACGCCGCUGGCCCAGCUGAUCGAGCCCGCGCCGGCGCCCGAGCUCGCGCUCCUGCCGCAGACGCAGGGGGCGACUCCCGCGAGCGCGCGGACGAAGGCGCGGGGCCGGCCGCCGGGGUCGAGGAACAAGCCGAAGCCGCCGGUGGUGGUGGUGCGGGAGAGCGCGGGGGCGAUGCGGCCCGUGGUGCUGGAGCUGGCCGCGGGCUGCGACGUGGCCGGCACGGUGGCCGCCUUCGCGCGGCGCCGCGGGGUGGGCGUGUCCGUGCUCUGCGGCCGCGGCGCGCUCGCCGCCGUCACGCUGCGGCUGUCGACCUCGGCGGGCACCUCACGCGCGGUCCGGCUGGAGGGGCGGUUCGACGUGCUGUCGCUCUCCGGGACGGUGCUGCCGGCGGCCGGCGAGGGCGCGGGCGCGGCCCCGACGCCGUUCUCGGUGUCCCUCGCGGGGGGCGACGGGCAGGUGGUCGGCGGCACGCUCGCCGGGGAGAUGACGGCCGCGGACGGCGGUGUCGUGCUGGUGGCCGCCACGUUCGUCACCGCCGAGGUGCACCGGCUGCCCGCGGUGGAGGCCGAGGCGGUGGUGGUCGAAGGCGAUGAUGGCCGCGGCGGUCGUCAGGAGGAGGAGAAGCGCCCACCAACAUCACCCCCGCCGCCUCCGCAGCAACAUCAGCAGCAGGGGAUGGUGGCCGCGAGCGCCGCCGAAGUGGGCCACGUCGCUGCCUACGGCGGGGUUCUGCUGGGCUGGGGCCCCGGCGGCCAUCCGGGCCAGGUUGGGCACUACGCGCAACAUGCCGAGCAGAUGCUCUCGCCGUGGGGCGUGUUCCCGGACUCACGCGCCGCCCCGAACCAUCCCGCGAGUUCGAGUCAUCACCAUUACUUGUAG